ensembl:lncRNA
AGAGAGGCGGGGUGACGCACGGGGCGCCUAUAAAGGCCGGGCGCCGCUGCGGUGUCUCAGGGAGAGCAGAGCGGAGAGGCGAGAUGGGGGCUGUUGCCGCUCCUGCUUCUUCUCGCCGCCUCUUCGGCUGCCCUUCUGGCGACCAGCGCCCAUUCUUCCUGCCCCGGGCCUCUGGCCCAUACCGUGUACUCCACGUUCAUGUUCGCGGCCACUUUCGCUCCGCUAGGUGGGCUUGCGAGUCCGCGCACCCACUUCGGCGGAGGGAGCUGGCCCGUCUCCUCGCCUUGGUGUUCCCCUCCCGCAGCGGGAGAUCGGGCGCCGAGAACCGGAGCGCAGGGGACACUCAGGCCUCCGGGGCCGCACACCGGCUCCGCACACGCCAGCGGAGCGCCCCCGAAACGCGCCUGGCCUCCAGCUCAGCGCUGAGCAGAGGGCGGCCUCCAACUCCGACUCGGACGCUCGUCGACCUUGGAGCAGCGCCCUACAACAGGUCCAGCAGGAGAUCGGGCGCCGAGAACCGGAGCGCAGGGGACCCUCAGGCCUCCGGGACCGCACACCGGCUCCGCACACGCCAGCAUAGCACCCCCAAAACGCGCCUGGCCUCCAGCUAGACCCUAAGUGUACGUGCCCAUCUCCACAGCCCUGCAGACCCUCCAGGCCUUCCAGCACUGACCGUUCUCCCCCUCAAGGGCAGCGGCCAUCCCCCGCACCCCCUCAUUCAGGACCCUUCCCACAUGCCGGCCGGAAACCCAGCCCAGAGCUUUCCCACGAUGACACCUGAGUCCUUGUCUGCCUGUGGCCUCGAUGCCUUUGUUCAGCCCAAGGGAGCUGGCUGGAAGGGGCUGCUACCUGGUGGAAGAGAAAAAUUUCAUUCCUGUCAGUGUGCGCCCCACCUCUGCGUACUCCUCCCAGUAGCAGCGCCCAGAGCCUGCAGAGGGUGAGGAGGCCGGCCUCGGAACCCUCCCAAAGCUGCCAGGCAACCUUGGCCCCAGCUGGCUCCCUGAUGCCCCGGUGGCGCCCCAACCCCCAGAAAGGGAAGGGCCGGCUCCAGUAGCCCCUCACCCCCAGCAGCAGUUCAAUCACUCGGUGAGGCUGGCGGGAGACCGGGAAAUGGGGGCGGGAGAGCCACCUGCAUCCAGAGAAGCACGGCGUCCUCACCUAGUCGGGACCAACCCGAGACCCCUGGCCCCGGCGGGCCUCGGCCUUCCACCGCGGGGGCCGGGUAGGCGGCUGUCUCUGCAGGCUUUGGUGGUGGCUGCGUUCCUGGGAGACAGGCUCGGAAGCGCCAGCGUCUCGUGGCCGGUGCUUGGAGCCGUGCAGGGUGUGGUCCCCCUGGUGGGUCUCAGUGCUGAGGUACUGAUGGGCCGUGGGCCUGGAGACCGCUGGCCUGGGACCAGGUUUAGCUGGCUCUUCCAGUGCUGAGGUGUCUUGGUCUUCUGGAGAGUUCUCUCCAGAGGGCGAGAGGGAUGCCCUGCCUUCGGACAGGAGAGGCUGAAAGAGCUGCCAAGUGGAAUGGCUGACGUUGAGCAGGGCACCCGUGGCCGUGUCCCAGGAGAGCCCCAGGCCCCACGCACAGAGGACUCAUUGGCUGAGCUGGGGCUUCUCGGGGACAGGUUCUCCCACCUGGAGGGGGAGGUGGAGGCACCACAAGAAAACGCUGAGCACCUGGGGCGGCAGGAGGCACGGGUUUGAGAGCUGGAGGGCUUCUUCCUCAACUUCCUGGGCUUCCUGGAAGCCUGUGUCCCGGGACAGGUUCACAGCACAAAGACCGGUCAUCUGUGCACCCCCCAACCCUGGGAAGGAGCUGGCCUGACCAGCAUGUGUAUGAGUUGUGAAUAAAGAGUUGUGUUGG